rnacentral:tRNA from 1 species
GGGGUUAUAGCGCAGCUGGGAGCGCGCCUGACUGGCAGUCAGGAGGUCAGGAGUUCGAUCCUCCUUAGCUCCACCA